UUGGACCUGAAAUCAGGAAAGAAGACCCGCUGAAUUUAAGCAUAUAACUAAGCGGAGGAAAAGAAACUAACUAGGAUUCCCUCAGUAACGGCGAGUGAAGCGGGAAGAGCUCAACUUGAAAAUCUCUGCAUUUUGCAGCGAAUUGUAGUCUAUAGGUGUAGUCACCAGUAAAAAGCAAGGCAUAAUUCAUGUGGAAUCAUGAACCAUGGAGGGUGAUAGUCCCGUACUAUGGCUUUGCAUUUUUGCAUACGGUGCGCAUCCAACGAGUCGGAUUGCUUGAGACUGCAGUCCUAAUGGGUGGUAAAUUCCAUCCAAAGCUAAAUAAAGGCGAGAGACCGAUAGCGAACAAGUACUGUGAAGGAAAGAUGAAAAGAACUUUGAAAAGAGAGUUAAAAAGUACCUGAAAUUGUUGAAAGGAAAGUGUAUGAAACUAGUGUUGCUUAAGAGUACCUGUAUUCUGUAGCAGGUCAGCAUGGAUUGGCUUUGCAAGAGACGGUUUUGGUGAAGGUAUUUGGCUUCGGCCAUUGUUAUAGCACCAAUUACUUGUUGUGGAGUCGAUUGAGGUAGCUUGGCACCUUAUUAGGUUUGCUUGCCAUUUGUAAUGAUGUGAUUUAUUGCAUGCAAUGUUUUGUGUUAUUAUAAGUGAUUCCUGUAAAUGUGAUAGUGUCAACGUGAUGCUGACGAAAUGGUUUCCUACAGCCCGUCUUGAAACACGGACCAA
rnacentral:rRNA from 1 species